GUACGCCACUAGUUGCAAUUGCAGUUCCGAACUCGUUGGUUGUUGAUGUUCAGAAGAAUGCCGCUCGGAUACCAUCGCCUUGCAAACGUAUCAGCUACUGGAUAGAAGAACUUUGACUCAUGGCAUAUUUACGAAAGGGAAAUUGAGGUCCCAAAUGUAGACUCCUGGAGCGAACACAGAGUACCAAGAUCCGAUUCCACACUCCGUCUAAAGUUAAUAAAGCAUUUGUCGGACGCUUCAAGGGAUCACGUGUUAACGUUCUGCAGAGCGUUGUGAAUUCAAAGUUUUAGAGGGUUUGAGUGACCACUUUUAAUCAGCCGAUAUUCCAUUCAAACAUAAAUACGCAGUUUUAAGCAAAUUUGAGACGGAAUUAGGAAAGUUCAACGAAGCUAUAUCUAUCGGGACAAAGCCGUCCGAAUUACAAGAAAGGAGAGGAAUAGUCAACAAUGCAGUCAUUGGAACAUCCAUAUCCGGCUUGGUUGGAGGUGUUCUCGGAGUUGUUGGUCUUGCUCUCAUUCCAGUAACAUUCGGGUUAUCCUUAGGUUUAACUGUUGCUGGAGGUGUGAUUGGUGCCUCAAGCGGAAUAGUGCAAGGCGGUUUCCGCGUUCACGAAGCGGUUAAGCAGAACCAAUUAACUGCUGAAAUGAGGGAAACGUUGGAAAAGGUAAGGGGCGACUUUGAAAAAGCGCUUACAGAUUUCACGAGAUAAUUCAAUCUAGAUGCCAUUGGAAACAGCGGUCCUGAAAGUCCAGGUUUGAACA